AGUUGCCAGAAAAAUUCUUGAUCCUUCCAGAAACUCCAGCGCGCAUGCUCUCAACAUCGUGUGACUUCCGCUGUCAUAACAAUAUAUAUAUAUAU